UUUGGUUAAGUUAGAAAGGGCGCACGGUGGAUGCCUUGACACUAGGAGUCGAUGAAGGACGGGACUAACGCCGAUAUGCUUCGGGGAGCUGUAAGUAAGCUUUGAUCCGAAGAUUUCCGAAUGGGGAAACCCACCAUACGUAAUGGUAUGGUAUCCUUAUCUGAAUACAUAGGGUAAGGAAGACAGACCCAGGGAACUGAAACAUCUAAGUACCUGGAGGAAGAGAAAGCAAAUGCGAUUUCCUGAGUAGCGGCGAGCGAAACGGAACAUAGCCCAAACCAAGAGGCUUGCCUCUUGGGGUUGUAGGACAUUCUAUACGGAGUUACAAAGGAACGAGGUAGACGAAGCGACCUGGAAAGGUCCGUCGUAGAGGGUAACAACCCCGUAGUCGAAACUUCGUUCUCUCUUGAAUGUAUCCUGAGUACGGCGGAACACGUGAAAUUCCGUCGGAAUCUGGGAGGACCAUCUCCCAAGGCUAAAUACUCCCUAGUGAUCGAUAGUGAACCAGUACCGUGAGGGAAAGGUGAAAAGCACCCCGGAAGGGGAGUGAAAGAGAUCCUGAAACCGUGUGCCUACAAAUAGUCAGAGCCCGUUAACGGGUGAUGGCGUGCCUUUUGUAGAAUGAACCGGCGAGUUACGAUCCCGUGCGAGGUUAAGCUGAAGAGGCGGAGCCGCAGCGAAAGCGAGUCUGAAUAGGGCGUUUAGUACGUGGUCGUAGACCCGAAACCAGGUGAUCUACCCAUGUCCAGGGUGAAGUUCAGGUAACACUGAAUGGAGGCCCGAACCCACGCACGUUGAAAAGUGCGGGGAUGAGGUGUGGGUAGCGGAGAAAUUCCAAUCGAACCUGGAGAUAGCUGGUUCUCCCCGAAAUAGCUUUAGGGCUAGCCUUAAGUGUAAGAGUCUUGGAGGUAGAGCACUGAUUGGACUAGGGGUCCUCAUCGGAUUACCGAAUUCAGUCAAACUCCGAAUGCCAAUGACUUAUCCUUAGGAGUCAGACUGCGAGUGAUAAGAUCCGUAGUCAAAAGGGAAACAGCCCAGACCGCCAGCUAAGGUCCCAAAGUGUGUAUUAAGUGGAAAAGGAUGUGGAGUUGCUUAGACAACUAGGAUGUUGGCUUAGAAGCAGCCAUCAUUUAAAGAGUGCGUAAUAGCUCACUAGUCGAGUGACUCUGCGCCGAAAAUGUACCGGGGCUAAAUACACCACCGAAGCUGCGGAUUGAUACCAAUGGUAUCAGUGGUAGGGGAGCGUUCUAAGGACAGUGAAGUCAGACCGGAAGGACUGGUGGAGUGCUUAGAAGUGAGAAUGCCGGUAUGAGUAGCGAAAGACGGGUGAGAAUCCCGUCCACCGAAUGCCUAAGGUUUCCUGAGGAAGGCUCGUCCGCUCAGGGUUAGUCAGGACCUAAGCCGAGGCCGACAGGCGUAGGCGAUGGACAACAGGUUGAUAUUCCUGUACCACCUCUUUAUCGUUUGAGCAAUGGAGGGACGCAGAAGGAUAGAAGAAGCGUGCGAUUGGUUGUGCACGUCCAAGCAGUUAGGCUGAUAAGUAGGCAAAUCCGCUUAUCGUGAAGGCUGAGCUGUGAUGGGGAAGCUCCUUAUGGAGCGAAGUCUUUGAUUCCCCGCUGCCAAGAAAAGCUUCUAGCGAGAUAAAAGGUGCCUGUACCGCAAACCGACACAGGUAGGCGAGGAGAGAAUCCUAAGGUGUGCGAGAGAACUCUGGUUAAGGAACUCGGCAAAAUGACCCCGUAACUUCGGGAGAAGGGGUGCUUUCUUAACGGAAAGCCGCAGUGAAUAGGCCCAAGCGACUGUUUAGCAAAAACACAGCUCUCUGCGAAGCCGUAAGGCGAAGUAUAGGGGGUGACACCUGCCCGGUGCUGGAAGGUUAAGGAGAGGGGUUAGCGUAAGCGAAGCUCUGAACUGAAGCCCCAGUAAACGGCGGCCGUAACUAUAACGGUCCUAAGGUAGCGAAAUUCCUUGUCGGGUAAGUUCCGACCCGCACGAAAGGUGUAACGAUUUGGGCACUGUCUCAACCAGAGACUCGGUGAAAUUAUAGUACCUGUGAAGAUGCAGGUUACCCGCGACAGGACGGAAAGACCCCGUGGAGCUUUACUGUAGCCUGAUAUUGAAUUUUGGUACAGUUUGUACAGGAUAGGCGGGAGCCAUUGAAACCGGAGCGCUAGCUUCGGUGGAGGCGCUGGUGGGAUACCGCCCUGACUGUAUUGAAAUUCUAACCUACGGGUCUUAUCGACCCGGGAGACAGUGUCAGGUGGGCAGUUUGACUGGGGCGGUCGCCUCCUAAAGUGUAACGGAGGCGCCCAAAGGUUCCCUCAGAAUGGUUGGAAAUCAUUCGUAGAGUGCAAAGGCAUAAGGGAGCUUGACUGCGAGACCUACAAGUCGAGCAGGGACGAAAGUCGGGCUUAGUGAUCCGGUGGUUCCGCAUGGAAGGGCCAUCGCUCAACGGAUAAAAGCUACCCCGGGGAUAACAGGCUUAUCUCCCCCAAGAGUCCACAUCGACGGGGAGGUUUGGCACCUCGAUGUCGGCUCAUCGCAUCCUGGGGCUGUAGUCGGUCCCAAGGGUUGGGCUGUUCGCCCAUUAAAGCGGUACGCGAGCUGGGUUCAGAACGUCGUGAGACAGUUCGGUCCCUAUCCGUCGUGGGCGUAGGAAAUUUGAGAGGAGCUGUCCUUAGUACGAGAGGACCGGGAUGGACGCACCGCUGGUGUACCAGUUGUUCUGCCAAGGGCAUAGCUGGGUAGCUAUGUGCGGAAGGGAUAAGUGCUGAAAGCAUCUAAGCAUGAAGCCCCCCUCAAGAUGAGAUUUCCCAUAGCGUAAGCUAGUAAGAUCCCUGAAAGAUGAUCAGGUUGAUAGGUUCGAGGUGGAAGCAUGGUGACAUGUGGAGCUGACGAAUACUAAUAGAUCGAGGACUUAACCAAAUAA
rnacentral:rRNA from 1 species